rnacentral:SRP_RNA from 1 species
GGCUGUAGUGGCCCAACGGGGAAAGUUCUCGCAAUUCUCGUCCGGCCUGAUCCAAACCCAGUUCGAACCACCCCCCAGCUGGCGCCCAGCACGAAUGCCGCGGUGGCCGUCCACUCGCUUGGGUAACCAGCGAUGCUGCGUGCGGCCCUAAGCAAUGAAGGUGACACUUGAGGGAGGCUUCACUCUGCAGAGGCACCUUCACCGUCGCAUGGCGUGCUGGAUUACGAUCGCUGGGGGCUUGGGUUAGUCGGACGAGGUGGAGAUGACGACUUCUUUUUU